rnacentral:rRNA from 1 species
UCGGUCAGCUCGUGUCGUGAGAUGUUGGUUAAGUCCCGCAACGAGCCGCAACCCUCGACCUUAGUUGCCAGCAUUCAGUUGGGCACUCUAAGGUGAACUGCCGGCUAAAAGUCGGAGGAAGGUGGGGAUGACGUCAAAUCAUCAUGCCCCUUAUGACCUGGGCUACACACGUGCUACAAUGGGCGGUACAAAAGGUCGCGAACCCGCGAGGGGGAGCCAAUCCCAAAAAGCCGCUCUCAGUUCGGAUUGCAGGCUGCAACUCGCCUGCAUGAAGCCGGAAUCGCUAGUAAUCGCGGAUCAGCAUGCCGCGGUGAAUACGUUCCCGGGCCUU